rnacentral:misc_RNA from 1 species
AUUCGAAAAGCUUAUUCGUUUGUAUUAAGCGUUCGAUUUUUACAGUUUUUUUAUCUUUUAUUUGAUUUCUUUUUCUUGAGAAAGAUCAUUUAACAUGACCGAAAACGUUUCAAAUAAUAAACUUCGGCUGCAAGAUAAGAUGGUUUGGAGCAUGUAUAUCUUCAACCGUGGAAAGACUCAGAACUAAGAACUAAAUAUGAGACUUGCAGAUGUUAUAACAGUACAUUUGCCAAAAACUUGCCAGUUAAUAAUAAAGAUCUUACAAUUCAUGAAUCCUAUUUAGAUUCAAGAGUGUAUUGCUGUUACUGUUUAAGUUCUAAGUACAGAAGAUAUCAUACAGCACCAUGUUACAGAGGUUCAAUGAAAGACAGGAUUUGUGCUGUUCAGCAUGGAAAUAAUUUUCAACAGUCCACGAACCCGUUAGAAAAAGAUGGAAGUAAAGUAAAUGCCGGACUUUGGGAGCGCAUUAAAAGUUUCUUUCUAACUCAUGUUUUAACAAAUUGUGCCCAUUUUGAAUACAGUGACUCUUGUAGUAACUCGACAGUUAUCGAUAAAUAAAUUAAA